GGCGAGAGCGGCCAAGUCUAUCAGCUUGUUGUGAGGUAUGGCUCACAAGGCAACGACGGUACGGGACUGAGAGGUUGACCGGCGCAUUGNGACUGAGACACUGCCCAGACUCCUACGGAGGCUGCAGUACGAAUAUUGGACAUGCGCGCAGCCUGAUCAGCGACCCGCGUGUAGGAUGAGUCCUUCGCGAUGUAAACUACUGUCAGGACCACCACGCAAUACGGGUUAAUACCUCGUAACGCAGAGGAAUCCGAGAGGAUGUCACGGCUAACUUCGUGCCAGCAGCCGCGGUAAGACGAAGGUGGCAAGCGUUGUUCGGAAUCCGUGGGCUUAAAGAGCAUGUAGGCGGAUGAUCAAGCGUCUUGUGAAAGCCCUCGGCUCAACCGGGGAAUUGCUUGCGGAACUGCUCAUCUUGAGGCAGGUAGGGGCAAGUGGAACCCUUGGUGGAACGGUGAAAUGCGUAGAUAUCAAGAGGAACGCCAGAGGCGAAGGCGACUUGCUGGGCCUGUCCUGACGCUGAGAUGCGAAAGCCAGGGGAGCGAACGGGAUUUAGAUACCCAGGUAGUCCUGGCCCUAAACGAUGUCCACUAGAUCGGAGAUUCUCUGACGGAUUUCUGGUCGAAAUGAAAACGUUAAGUGGACCGCCUGGGGAGUACGGUCGCAAGGCUAAAACUCAAAGGAAUUUGACGGGGGCUCACACAAGCGGUGGAGCAUGUUGCUUAAUUCGAUGCAACGCGAAGAACCUUAUCCUGGACUUGACAUGUUCGGAUGCCUCCCUGGAAACAGGGUUCGGCUGCCCUUCGGGGUGAAACGAUCACAGGUGCUGCAUGGCUGUCGUCAGCUCGUGUCGUGAGAUGUUGGGUUAAGUCCCGUAACGAGCGAAACCCUUGUCGCUAGUUGCCAGCGCGUAAUGGCGGGGACUCUAGCGAGACUGCCGGUGUCAAACCGGAGGAAGGUGGGGAUGACGUCAAGUCCUCAUGGCCUUUAUGUCCAGGGCUGCAAACGUGCUACAAUGGCCGGUACAAAUCGACGCAAGACCGCGAGGUGGAGCAAAUCGCAAAAAGCCGGCCCCAGUUCGGAUUGGAGUCUGCAACUCGACUCCAUGAAGUCGGAAUCGCUAGUAAUCGCGUAUCAGCGUGACGCGGUGAAUGUGUUCCUGAGCCUUGUACACACCGCCCGUCAAGUCAUGGAAG
rnacentral:rRNA from 1 species